rnacentral:lncRNA from 1 species
UGUAAGACAUGCCUUUCACCUUCUGCCAUGAUCGUGAGGCCUCCCCAGUCAUGUGGAACUUGUAAGAUCUGCCUUUCACCUUCUGCCAUGAUUGUGAGACCUCCCCAGCCCGUGGAACUUCCAGGGAAGGACUAGCAUCUCAUGGUUGGGAAGAAGAAAUGAUAGAAGAGAAUCAUGAAUAUCUUACUGAUAGUCUGCAGCAACUUGUGGAACUUUGCAACAGUCACAUCAGGGAAGACAUGGUGCUUUUCAAAUAUGUCAUCAGGCUGUAGCAUGGAAAUUUCAGAAUUGCAUAUGAAGAACAUGAUGACUGACCAGGCGUUGUUCCCAUGGUAUAGAGCAAAAAGAUCUCCAAAGACCUUCCUGGAUUGCUGGAGGUCCAGCAACUAUCUUGGACCUUAA